rnacentral:lncRNA from 1 species
GCAUGGGAGGAAUGUUAAAAGCUAUCUGUCCUGCAAGAUCAACUCUAGUGGUUUAUUUCCUUGGCUUCCUAAAAUGGCACGAUAGUUUAGUUACUUUUUGAAGAAACCUCAUUGUAGAAUUAUAGACUGUAAAGUUGAAAGGGAUUCCAAGGGUCAUCUAGUCCAAUGCCUUGCAAUGCAGGAAUCUCAGCUAAAGCAUUCGUGACAGAUGACCAUCCAACCUCUGCUUAAAACCCCCCAAUGAAUAUAAUACAACCCCCUGAGGGAGUCCAUUUCACCGUCAAACAGCUCUUAGCAUUGUGUUUAGUUGGACUCUCCUUUCUUGUAACAUGAAUCCAUUGGUUUGGGUUCUAUCCUCUGGAGCAGUAGAAAACUAGUUUGCUCUAUCUUCCUUAGAACAGCCAUUCAGUUGUUUGGAUAUGGCUGUUGUAUUUCCUCUUGGUCUUCUCUUCUCCAGGCUAAAUAUACUUAACUCCCUCAACUGCUCCUCAUAAGGCUUGGUCUUCAGACCCUUUAACACCUUGAUCGCCCUUCUCUGCAAAUGUUCCAGCUUGUUAAUAUCCUUGUUAAACUGCUCUGCCCAGAACUGGACACAAUACUCCAGGUGCGAUCCGACCAAGGCAGAAUAGAGCAGCACUAUUACUUCCCUUGAUCAGGACAUUAUACUCCUGUUGAUACUCAUUAUAGUUACAACAUUGCUUAUUAAUUUAUUGCCUAUUCAGGAUUUCUGCAACCAAAAAUCCUUGUCAAUGUAAUUAGUUUAGCGGAACAUCAGAGAAUUAUUGUUCUGAAAGCAGAGAUAACAAAAACUAUAAAAAGCAAUAUAUUUAUACAAUACUAUAGAACUUGAAUGGUACAAUGUGUCUGCAGUAUUGUGGCAGUAUUAUCUUUUUACUUUUGCCUUCCAUUCCCAUCUACUUAUUAAAUAUUUGUCCUAGGAAAGGUAGAAAGAGUUUUCUCUUUGUAAGUUUCCCCCACAGUCUUGGAAUCCCACAGCUGGAAUGAAUGGAAUUCUCCUACUCAGAAAUGUAAAAAGUAAAAAUAAAAAUCAGACUCUGCUGAGACUGUUUUAGCAGAACGUUGUAUGGAGCUUUGUAUUACUGGAGAGUGAAUGAUAAAAUAAUUAAAAACACUGUCGCCCCAGAAACUCAAAUAACUAUGAAAAUAGCACAUUCCUGCUGAUCAGAACAGUGGAGAAUGCGUUGGUGAAGAUCUGCUUGACAUGAGCUUGUCUGGCAGUUUUUUGGUAACUACAUAUUUCUAAUGCUCUGUUUUUUGGACUUUCAUUUAUACCACUUUUUUAAUGUGAGGAACGAAAGCUCCCUAUGUACGCAUGUUAAUCACCAAAUAUCAGUGUUGAAUACUGUGAGUGUAAAUCAAUGUAUAAAACUAUAUUAAGAACUAUGCACUACCAUGUAUGGAGGAUGUGGGCUCUCCCACAUAGAUGUAAUAUGUGUUUGCUAUAGUGCUCCUCAAAUGCAGUCAGAUUCACAGCAGACAGGUAUGUAGGUUUUCCAGAGCCCAUGGUAUUUCACAAGAAGUAAUGGAUUUCCUUAACCCUUCAGCAUUCUCAAUUAGUGCUUCCUGGAGACUAGGGAAUCUAAUUUAAGUGAAAUUUGACUUCAUACUUUGGCUAGAUAGCUAAUAUCAGCACAUUGUUUUGUUGUUUUUGUUUUGAUUAUGUACUUUGUGGUUUUAUAUUCUGAGUUUAUCCUGUGAAUCAUCCUGAGACCUGAUUGAUCAACUUUAUUCUUAAAAUGCAUAGCCAGUUGGUCACAGUGGAACCUGAAAAUUCCGGAGGCACCUUCCCCACAAUGGGAGUAUCCUCCAGACCAUUCAAAAGAACUGCCGGUAGACUAUUAGAUGAUGCCUUACAAACUGUGAAAUGAGCCUUCUUUUCAGCCCAAAUUGCCACAUGGGAGGCUCAAUUAUGAGCACUUGCCAGUGUUCAGUUCAGAGCAAGUCUUGCACUUUAGUUUUCAUCCAACUUGCUUCAUAGUUUGAAGCUCCCUAGAAUACCAAGUAGCCACUCAUGCUACACAAUACUGAAGAGAACUUCAGGAGUUAUUGUGUCAAAUUAUAAUCCUACCAACAGCUCCAGCAGCAACAACAAGACAAUAGUACCCACCCCAUAAUUUUAGAAUAGGUUUCCAUUUAGUAUUUUCCUGAAUGUUUUGUUUUAAUUGCUGAAUACAUAGCAUUUUAAAUGUAGAUAGAAAUUGCUCCCUUUAAGUCAACACAUCAUAGUACAUAGUGGUUGAUUGAGGCUGAACAUUCUGUUUUGUGGGUGUGCUAUGCUUAAGACUUUUAACAUGUUUUAGAUAGAUUGCGAUUCCAUUUUAGAAAUGAAUUCAGCUAUGGGUGGUAAAUGGUAGAUGUAGUUUCUGCUUAUUUGAAAUAGUUGACACUUUUAUUUACUUUGUACCCUAAUCCCCCACAAAAAUGAAUGAAAUGGAUGAUCUGAGGGUCACUGGCUCCUAUUUCCUGUCCUAGUGAUAGUAAAGCAUGCUGAGAGCAAUGCGGAGGAACUGAAAAUGAAUGUGAAGGCAUGUGAAAUAUGGUAAGGGUCGUGAGACAAGACAAUAACUUUCAGAGCUAAAAAAUAGUACUUCACUUGGUGUAAUCACGGGAGAAAACUAAGAUUGCCCUGCAAAGGAGAUACAAGGGCUCAAAUGUCUUCCUAAAUAAGAUGGCUUGAUGAAAUACAAGGCAUUGCCUCCAUGGCAAAAAACAGAACUGAAUGGGAGACAGAAUGGUUCAGGAAGAUUGUGCUUAAUAUCCCUGCUGUAACCUAACAAGCUCCUAAUUAAGGUCCAUGUCUGCACAUAUAAAUCACAAUUUCUGCACAUAUAAAGGAAAAUUAAAAUCACUGGUCUAAACAAAACCAUGGGUUAGUGCAAAUGUAUAGGCACCUUGGAAGGAAAUAGCAGCCACUUCUUUACUUCCUUGCCAUUUUGCUGCCUCACUAUGCUGAACUAAGCAAUAGUUUGGGUUCAUAUGUUGUUUGAACCUAGGCUCAUGGUUUAACUCUCCUGGACAAGUCACAAAUCGUAAACCUUGAUUACAGCUUGUGGUUUGUCUGGUGAGAACUUUCCUCUUCCAGACGUAUUUGUGAGAGAGGGUAAAUGUGCAUUUGGAAUCUUGCAGGGGAAAUGAAUUUUGAUCAGAAAACCAACUUCAAAUCCAGUUUUAAAGCUCCCCAACUUUUUUUAAUGAGAGAAAUUUCACAAGCACUGAGAGAAGAAACUGAAACUUUCUGAUGCAAGAGCAACAUUAUUCAUGUCCUCAAGAUCUUAAAAUUCAGAAUGGGGAAUGCAUCUUAUGGAGAUCAUGUUGGUAAACCAAAAAUAGCUUGAGUGUCUU